UACAGAGGUCCCAAGCGUUGUUCGGAUUCACUGGGCGUAAAGGGUGCGUAGGCGGUCGGGUAAGUCUGAUGUGAAAUCUUACAGCUUAACUGUGAAACUGCAUUGGAUACUAUCCGGCUCGAGGAAUGGAGGGGAGACUGGAAUACUUGGUGUAGCAGUGAAAUGCGUAGAUAUCAAGUGGAACACCAGUGGCGAAGGCGAGUCUCUGGACAUUUCCUGACGCUGAGGCACGAAAGCCAGGGGAGCAAACGGG
rnacentral:rRNA from 1 species